rnacentral:rRNA from 1 species
GCCUGCAUGAAGUCGGAAUUGCUAGUAAUCGCGGAUCAGCAUGCCGCGGUGAAUACGUUCCCGGGUCUUGUACACACCGCCCGUCACACCACGAGAGUUUACAACACCCGAAGCCGGUGGGGUAACCUAAGCCGCCCCAGAAAGUGAAGAGUAAGCUGCGAAGCGUAUUCCGAAUACUUUCCGGGGACCCCGGUUGGGAGCCAGCCGUCGAAGGUGGGGUAGAUGAUUGGGGUGAAGUCGUAACAAGGUAGCCGUAUCGGAAGGUGCGGCUGGAUCACCUCCUUUCUAAGGAG